rnacentral:rRNA from 1 species
CUACACAUGCAGUCGAGCGGUAACAUUUCAAAAGCUUGCUUUUGAAGAUGACGAGCGGCGCGACGGGUGAGUAAUGCCUGGGAAUUUGCCCAUUUGUGGGGGAUAACAGUUGGAAACGACUGCUAAUACCGCAUACGCCCUACGGGGGAAAGCAGGGGACCUUCGGGCCUUGCGCUGAUGGAUAAGCCCAGGUGGGAUUAGCUAGUAGGUGAGGUAAAGGCUCACCUAGGCGACGAUCCCUAGCUGGUCUGAGAGGAUGAUCAGCCACACUGGGACUGAGACACGGCCCAGACUCCUACGGGAGGCAGCAGUGGGGAAUAUUGCACAAUGGGGGAAACCCUGAUGCAGCCAUGCCGCGUGUGUGAAGAAGGCCUUCGGGUUGUAAAGCACUUUCAGCGAGGAGGAAAGGGUGUAAGUUAAUACCUUACAUCUGUGACGUUACUCGCAGAAGAAGCACCGGCUAACUCCGUGCCAGCAGCCGCGGUAAUACGGAGGGUGCGAGCGUUAAUCGGAAUUACUGGGCGUAAAGCGUGCGCAGGCGGUUUGUUAAGCGAGAUGUGAAAGCCCCGGGCUCAACCUGGGAACCGCAUUUCGAACUGGCAAACUAGAGUCUUGUAGAGGGGGGUAGAAUUCCAGGUGUAGCGGUGAAAUGCGUAGAGAUCUGGAGGAAUACCGGUGGCGAAGGCGGCCCCCUGGACAAAGACUGACGCUCAGGCACGAAAGCGUGGGGAGCAAACAGGGAUUAGAUACCCUGGUAGUCCACGCCGUAAACGAUGUCUACUCGGAGUUUGGUGUCUUGAACACUGGGCUCUCAAGCUAACGCAUUAAAGUAGACCGCCUGGGGGAGUACGGCCGCAAGGUUAAAACUCAAUGAAGUUGACGGGGGCCCGCACAAGCGGUGGGAGCAUGUGGUUUUAUU